GGAGAACAGCAGUAGAUACGACGCCGAUAAGCAAGAAAGAAAAAUUAAGGACAAAAAGACGGAGCUGUUUCUAAAAAAUCAGGAUAAACAGGCCUGACUCACUGUUUGCUGACUG
rnacentral:lncRNA from 1 species